CCUCCUCCUCCUCCUUCUCUCUGGAAGAAAUAUUUUCUAUCUUUUGUCUGUCUGCUUUUUUUUUCCUCGCUCUUAAUAUUUUCUUUCUUUAUUGCAGCUAUUUUUGAAGUUUUGAUGUCAGAUGUUGUCACAUGUCAGAUGUUGUCACUGUGUUUAAUAUUUAUCCAGUCUUGUGUGUUGAUUAUUUUUUCAUUCAUGGUUACAUAUUCUCAUCUGUUUCCUUUGGUAUCAAAAAUGGUGACACUUUUUAUUGGGCAUUUGUUGAAUUUACAGCUCAAAUUCUUCAUUGUAAUAUUUCAACAUAAUAGCCAAGAUGGCAGCAUAGGACACAAUUGCUUUCUACUUGAGGUUAGCUCAUUUUCUGCUAAGGUGAGGCUAUCCUCCAUCAGGCACAAGUCCCAGUUGAAUCCACACUUCUCAGAGGUUAAAUGUACAGUGAAUUUAUAAGAUGUCAAAGUCAAGAGAUUGCCUUGAGUGUUCAAAGAAACUUUGGACAUUUCAACAGUGUUAGGACUGCAUUUUGUAUUAUGGGUUGUGUGUGAGUCUCUUAUGAACUGUUUGAAAAUAUGGUGGGUUGAAAGUCCUAGAUGGAUUACACUUCACAAAAGCUAAAUGUACAGUGCUACAGCCUUUUCUUUAGAAAUAUCCUUUUGUGGCUGGGCAGUGGUGGCGCACACCUUUAAUCCCAGCACUUGGGAGGCAGAGGUAGCCGAAUUUGUGAGCUAGAGGCCAGCCUGGUUUACAUAGUGAGUUCCAGCACAGCCAGGGCUACACAGAGGAAACUCUGUCUCAAAAAAAAAAAAAAAUCAAAACAAAAAAGUAAUAUCCUUUUGUGAAGUUAGCAUAAACAUAGAAGGAGAUGGUACCUCUAGGCAAGUAGAGCCCCCCAAACCUGCCUUAGCUAUAGAACAGAAGAUAGAUGUCCAUGGCCUCAAGCAGAGAUAGUUGAUUCCAUCCCUGUCUCGCCACAUAGAUUGUAUUAUGGAAGGCAAGCUUUGUCAUCUACCUGUUUCACUUUCUCCUCAGUCCUCAGACCCAAAAUGUUGCUGAGCCCCAUUUUAUCCCAGUUGAGAUGGUCUGAGCUGUGAUCAGACAGAUCUCCUUGUUGGCUGGAAUUUAAGACUUUCAGAUUUCAACUAUUAAAUAGCUGAAUCAAAUGUAAAGCCUUAAUACCUUGUGUUGCAUGUCUGCACGGUUAGAGAUGCAGCUUCCAGAUAGCAUCAUCUACAACAGUCUCACUUUAAGCACAGCAGGAGAGAGCCUUCAUUGCUUCCACCUCACCUCAUCUAAGGUUUUCUAGGUUCCAGAAGGGAACUGUGUAGGGAGGGAAACAAGGGAUAAUACCAUGUAUUCGGAGAAAAGGUAAGGACUUAAGUUUCAGUUGGAGGCCUCCAGUUGUUUAAUCUCUUCCUGGCGAGGCUAGGGAAGGUUAUAUUAAGGAAGCCUUUAACCCACUGAGAGGAGUUGGCUCCUCAGUCUUUGGAUGAAAUAUUUUCUUUUGUCUUUCUCUUUCCUUCUCUUUUUUCUCUCUUUCCCUCUUUCUCUAUUUCCUUUAUUUUCUUUCACUUUUUUUUUCCUUCAGAGCUGUUUUCUAUUUAGGUUAUAUUCCUGUCAUGGUUUAUAUUAGCUCAACAUCCUCCUGCUCCUGGAUUCUUGGUCUUCAAUUAGUAGAAUUGUGUAAACUUAAACAGUAUGAUCUAUGGGAGAAGGUUUGUCUCAUUUGUUCUAGGUGACUUUGAUGUUUCAAAAUACCAGAGCAAGGCAGGUGUUUCUCUUUGCUUGCCUGCCUAUGUAUCAGGAUGUAACACUCAGCACAAUGCCUACCAUAAUCCUUCCUUUCAAGAUGACAAUGGACUAUCACUAUAAUCACUCCCAAAAGUAUUCUAUUAUUAGAGUUACCUUGGCCAUAUUGCAUUUUCACAGCCAUAGAACAGUUACUAAGACAGGUUGUUUGUGUAAUAAUUUGACAUAUUUUCCCCUUAUUCUGUCCUGUGAAAUCAGGGCUAAAUGAACAGGUAAUGGACUGAUCUCUAGACAAAAUAUUUACCGUGUGGCAUGGUUAUUACUCAUGACACAUACAGGUCCAUAGAGAAAAAGAGAAAUGAGGGUCAGAAAUUAAUGUCACCUGUGUGGUUUACAAAGAAAAAGAGGUGUAGGUAAAUUCAGAUGGUAGUCAUGUGCUAAAACAGAUUCAGUAAUUAUCAGUGAGACUAGGACCAUUAAAGAAAAUGCACGUGCUCUUCUUUGCACAUAUAGAGAAUGUGUUGAGAGGGUGCUGUACCACACAGCAAAGUGUUUAAUUAUGGGAGGAAAAGGUAAUGUUAUUCACCACCAUUACAGACUCUAUCCCUAUUUAAUGGAAGGUAAAAUAGAAGCAGUUGCUUUUCUGUGAGAAGCCAUUUUUCUAAUCUGAUAUUUUUAUGUUUAUAUUUUUGUCUUAUGUUUUUCUACAUGUCUUAACAUUUGUUAUUAUUCUGAGCUUUACCCACAUCUUGACUUUUAAACUUUGUCAGAGGCUGUAAUUUUUUACACCAGAAUGACAUGCCUGCAUGCCAUUAAUACUGAUCUCUAGAAAUUGGAGUGCAGGUUUAUGGCUCUCUGUGGGGCAGUGGGCUGUUCUGACAGCCUGGGUGCAGUAGAGAAGCCACCUUAGAACCUUGGACCACCCACUGAGCAGAGUAAAUUUGUUCACAAGGGAUGGUAGGUGUUCAGUGAUAGCUCCUGAGAUGAUGGCUCAGAUUUCAACCUAAACGCCCCACAGUGACCCCAGCAGGAGAGUUUUGUGAUAUUGGUCAAGCCCUCUUACAUGCAAAUAAAGAUUCUCAGCCCAAACCAAUGAGAGAUAACAGCUCACAAAAUCUGAAUGACCCCCCCAAAACUAUAUAUAUAUAUAUAUGUCAUGUCCAGGGAAGUAAAGCACAUGAAAGAUCUACUCCAUGGUCUGAGCCUUUUGUUCUAAGAGCUGUAGCACUUAGAAAGAGAUUUGCUCUCCCAAAACUCAGCCUAAAGCUGCGCCACACUCCUCACUGGCUAGUCGGCCUGUCUUCCCAGCCUGACCCGACUCAGUGCAGGGCAGUGCGGAGAAACAGAGUGGCCUGGAAGACAAGGCAGAGACAGAGCCCCGUCUGUCUGCGCUUGCUCAAUUCCCUUCGCAAGGACUCUUUCACCAAGCCAGGCCAGAGAUCUCUAUGGGAAACCUCCUGCAUUCAGGCCCACUGCUCUCCCUAUGUUUUGUUUUGUUUUUAUUUGUAAAAUAUGUACAUGGGUCUUUUGCCUAUAUGUAUGGAUGUGAGCAUGUGAAAGUCUGGUGUUUACUGAAGGCAUUUAACUCUUUAGAGGAAUUUUGUCUGAGCCCCUGUAUACUUUCUACCUUUGUGUGUGUGUGUGUGUGUGUGUGUGUGUGUGUGUGUGUGUGUGUGUAUUUCCUCAGGACAGGGUCACGUUAUGUACCUUUUGAUGUCCUGAAGAUCACUACGUAGACCAGUUUGGCCUGAAAAUCAUAAGAGAUUUACCUGUCUCUGCCUCCUGAGGCUGAGAUUAAAGGAUGCAGUUACCUAUGAGGAUGUGCAUGUGAACUUCUCUCAGGAAGAGUGGGCUUUGCUGGAUCCUUCUCAGAAGAGUCUCUACAAAGAUGUGAUGCUGGAAACCUACUGGAACCUUACUUAUAUAGGCUACAAAUGGGAAGACUGCAAUACUGAGGAUCAUCGUCAAAGUUCUGGAAGACAUGGAAGGUAAUUUUCAUGUGCAAGCUGGUACAUAGGUGUCUCUGAAGAAAUUUUAAUGUACCCUGAAAUUUUAAUGAAAAAAAAAGUUUAACCAAGCACAGCUUUGUGAGGUUUAUUAAAUUCUCAUAUACCAUAUACCUCAGUGUUAGGUAGCUGAUCAGUGUUUACAAAUUAUUCCUUUAAGAAAGAGGAAAGGACAUAAGGUGUCACAG